GGUCUGAGGGCGAUCGCGUUGGGAGGCAGAGAAGACCUGGGUUCUGGUGCCAGUUCUGCAAUGGAUUCGCUGAAACCUCGGAGGCAACUCAUUGCUUUCCUCCUCUUUCCCUUACAAGCAGUGAGAAAGUUUUUGUCCCCGCGUCCCCACCCACCCUCCGCCGGUCUGGGUUACUUGGUGAGUUGAGAGCCCAGUUGAGAAACUGGGCAAGCGCUCUCCUGAUCUGUAACUCCCUGCUGAAAACUGGUCCCUGAAGUUGCCCCUAGCUGGAUCCCAUAAUCACAACUACUCUGAAAGGGGCCUUUAAGUACAGAGCCACGUAGGAACAAGACUCAAGAAAGACCAUCAUGCCCCUGUGUCCAUUUCCAUUUAAGGAUAAACCAGCUUCUAAAUGACCUCUUUAAGUUAGCUCCAGAGGACAGUGUAGCUAUCCUACCCUCUUAACGUUGCCCUUUGAGAAAAGUAGGUCCGAGAUAAGUACUUGAUUUGAGACUGUUUUUAUAGGAAGCCCAUUUCCUCAAACACCAGCCAUCAGGAGGAGGGACUUCACAAGUGAGGAUUUUGUCCCUUUCACAGGCCCCAGCAGCGCUCCAGUCGCCCACUGAAAGCAGGGCAUGCCUCUGUGAUGCUUGGUUUGUUUCCCACACAGUGAGAGGAAAACCUUCCUGAGCCUGCCCAGCAAACCUACCUGUGCCCCUGCCAGGAAGAGCAAGCAAGUGACUUCCAAAAACGUGAGUGAUGACAGAAACAGCUGGCUUCCUGGACAGUCACCCAAAGUUCUUCUGCAAUGUUUGGCAGUCACUUUCUUUUGUGUCCUGCUUAUCCAAUUAGGACAGCAUGCCGUCAGCUGUUGGAGUGGCUCUUCUGACAUGAGACAAAGAUUUUGAAUUUCAUUUUAAUAAGCAUGCUGGGUUUAAAGAAGGAGAGAUCCACAUUCCAACUCCAAAUCCAGUUUUAAUUUUUAAUUAGACUGUGACUACAAAAAACUAUUUGAAUUAUAUAUCUGUAGAGAACAGCGGAAACAAACAUCUGGUAAGAUUUAUGAAAUUUUACCCUAUUGAAAAUGUGAUAUUCCAAUAGGCCAAUUUACUCUUUUUAUUAAGAUAUUUUUUUCUGGACGAUUUGUCCUUUUUCUUUAGAUGUCUCAUUUGCCCAGUGGUCUUCAGAUUCCUUAGCUGGAUACCCUUAUUUUCCUGAAAAGACAAACAAAAUACUUCCCCAACCCGAAUUUUUUGGAGAUUCUCUUUUGGCGUGUUAAAUCUGGUGAAAUGAAAAGCAUUUGUUAAUAUUAUAGGUUAGUUAAGAUUAAAAGGUCAUGAUGUUUGACGAACUAGCAUCUCUUCUCAUUAAGAGGUGUAUCUUGUUUAAAUGGAAUCUUUAUCAAUUUUGAUGGUAUCUAUAGCUUUUCUUCUCCUGUGGAAACAAAAGCAAACCUAACACAUCUCCUGGUUUCUAUUCAGAGGUCAAUACAUCAUUAAAGUGUAUCGGCUGAUUUAAUUCCACAGCUGUUUCUCCACAGCUGUUGUUCCUUUCUCAUUAGCAUUUAGAAAAUUCAAAGUUAAUAAAGCAUUAUGUAACCUGUUUCUGGGUGUAUUUGUCAUCCCUUUCUGUUUUUUUUUAAACAUAUCCUUUAGAGCUCUAUUUGAUCUUUCUAUAACUACCUGUCUUAAAGGAUUGUGUGGUAUGCUUUGUAUUAUAAUAAGCAAAAAACUGUUUCAUUUUCUUCGAGACAUAUGCUGGAGCAUUGUCUUUAUUUUUCCAGAUAUAUUUAUGAUGGCCAUAACUUCUAGCAAAUGUGUGAUUACCAAAUCAAUCUUUUCUGAACACAAAACAGUUGCCUAUUGAAAACCUGACUAGGUAUCAAAGAUGUGGUAUACAUUAUACAAAAUGGAAUACCUCCAUCUGCCAGAUUUUAUUCCUUUGAGUACCCUUUGGGUUGCUUCCUGCAGAGAGUGGUGUUUGGUUGUAUAAGGAACAAGUAGGACAUUUCCUUAUAUCUUCUUGGCUUGUUGACAUGUAAUAGAAAAGUCCUUUUCUAAACCUUUGCUAUCCCCAUGAUGUUUUUAUGAGAUUCUGGUCCCUUUAGCACAUUUCCAAUCAACAAUUGAUCAAUUUCUUUAUUACCUUGUGAUAGAGGACCUGGCAGACUCAUACAGGAUCGGA